rnacentral:lncRNA from 1 species
UGUGCUGUGACGAAUGCAAGAAAGGACACUGAGAAUUAGACACCGGGUCUUUACUGCUGUCCGAUGCGACGGGGGAGUGGGGAACCCCUGGAAAGAUCACCACCUGCACUGGAGCUGGGGUUUCUCGUCUGUUAAAUUAGAGAGUCAAACAAGAGAAUCUCUUCAGUCCUGUUAAUUAAAGAGAUGCUGGUUUAUUCAUCCCCCACCCCC